UACGUAGGUGGCAAGCGUUGUCCGGAAUUAUUGGGCGUAAAGCGCGCGCAGGCGGUUCUUUAAGUCUAAUGUGAAAGCCCACGGCUCAACCGUGGAGGGUCAUUGGAAACUGGGGAACUUGAGUACAGAAGAGGAAAGCGGAAUUCCACGUGUAGCGGUGAAAUGCGUAGAGAUGUGGAGGAACACCAGUGGCGAAGGCGGCUUUCUGGUCUGUAACUGACGCUGAGGCGCGAAAGCGUGGGGAGCAAACAGG
rnacentral:rRNA from 1 species